ACAGUGACACAGAUUCAGAUAGUUCAAGCUCCUCCUCUUCCUCUUCCUCCUCAUCUUCCUCAUCGUCUUCCUCUUGUAUAUCACUUCCUCCACUGGUGUCAGAUGGAGAAGAUGAUUUACAAACUGAGAAGGAAAACAAGAAUUUUCCUCUUAAAACAAAAGAUGAGUUACUCCUUAAUGAACUACCUUCUGUUGAAGAACUCACUAUUAUUCUGCCUGAAGAUAUUGAAUUAAAGCCUUUUGGGAUGGUUUCAAGUAUUAUUGAGCAAUUAGUAAUAAUUGAAUCUAUGACUAACUUACCUCCAGUUAAUGAGGAGACUGUAAUUUUUAAAAGUGAUCGGCAGGCAGCAGGAAAGGUUUGUAAAAAAAAUUCAAAUCUUACAAUUAUUUCUGUUUCUUUGUUGAUUGGUUUUUCUGACUUUAUCUGUCUUAAAAAGAAUUUGUUAAUUUUAGUAGAUGAGCAGUAUAGAGCUCUGAGUUUUAUUUUUUUAUUUUUAUUUUUUGAGUUUUAUUUUAUUCUUGAUUUUUUUCAAUACUUCAUGCCAUUUUUUCCUGUUUGUCAGGUACUCUGUGAGGCGGUGGGUCUGCAUAUUGAAUACCUCCAGGUACCCAAAGUUGAGUGCAGGAAACUUUCUACAGUAAGAGUUCUUACUGUAAGAGUUCUUAACUCUUUUGGUUUGUGAGUCCCUUUGAGUGGUGGCUCUUAAAACUUUUUAAACUUUGGCUUCCUCAGGUAGAAUAUUAAGAGUGGAAAGAAGAAACAGGGGAAAAAGAUUUCAGCAAUAGCUACAGUGUCUCUGUAAGCACAUUCUAGGGAAUUAUGAGUCUGUGUACUUUAGCACUUGCCAUAAAGUCAAAUCCCUUAUAACAUUUUUCAAAUGGAACACUCUGCAUGUCCAUCUUUAAUAUGGGAGACUAUACAUUUUACCCAGUAAAUAGGCAAUGCUGAGAGUCAGCAGAGAAUGUAAAAUCUCUAAGAUCAAGAAUAUAAAUACUAACCAAGUGUUCCUUUUUUUGGGUAGACGGGUAGUUUAUUCACCUCAGCAUUCUCCACUCUAGAAAGUACAGUGCUUUGUAAAUUAUAAAUGCUAAGUAAAUGUGUACUGUGUUGAAAACAAAUAAAAAUAAGAAAACAAGAAACCA
rnacentral:lncRNA from 12 species